GCUUUCUUGUUUUAGAUUUGUUUAUAAUUAGUAGCAGUAUAAUCAUUCCAGAGGGAUGCAGUUCCAAAGGUCUUGCUGGUCAAAAUUCGUGAUUGAUUGAUUGAUGGUAAAUAUUUACUUGCUUACUAAUGGAUGAAGCUCAGAUGAACAAAAUGUUAUACACUUGAGCGAAUGAAAUUUAGUACGAUUCAGUCGUCUUCGGAAUCCAAUCGGUGAGGUUGAGUACCUGCAAUAUGAAGAAUAUGUUUGUAUCCCUAAUAAGUUUGCUGAUACUGUUCGUAUUUGCAAAAGAUAGUUCGGGCUUCAGCGGAAGGUUGUGCAUGGAGAGGCUGGAACAACUUAUAUUAUUUACCUGCAAGAAUGGUGUCAACCCUGUCGUCGACCAGCACGCUAUUUAUAAAGAGUGCUGUUUCAAAUCGUGUGAGCUUGAUACGCUCUCAAAAUUAUGCAAAAAUGAAUGACACAGGAUCUCUACACAAUGGUUUUUCGCUUUAUAAAAUAUAUAUAUAUAUAUUCGUAGUUUUCGUGAAUCGUUUUAGAUCUAAUUUUGUGGUACAAUGAAAAAUAGCUAUAAAUGCAAAUCGAGGAGUGCAAAAUAAAUGAGGAAUGAAGACAGAAAAUUAACCUGACAAGAGGCAUGACGAUGGAUGAUAAUCACUCAGGAUGGAAUUCUUCUAUAUCAGCACUACGUAUCUCUUCGGAUUCAAAGUGAAAUUUUUUUAACCUGUAAAUAAUGAUGGCAAGCAAGAAAACAAGAACAUUGCUAAUGCUAAAAAAAUGGCAUUUUUACAAUAGAAGAACAUUCUGUUGGCAAUGUAAUUAUUUGUACAUCUAUUGGAAUCACAAUAUGGCAAUUUCAGUGUUAUGUUGGUUAUGUUAUACGAAUAAAGUUUACUAUAUUUUUUAUUAUA